rnacentral:rRNA from 1 species
GAUGAACGCUGGCGGCGUGCCUAAUACAUGCAAGUCGAGCGAACAGAUGAGGAGCUUGCUCCUCUGACGUUAGCGGCGGACGGGUGAGUAACACGUGGAUAACCUACCUAUAAGACUGGGAUAACUUCGGGAAACCGGAGCUAAUACCGGAUAAUAUAUUGAACCGCAUGGUUCAAUAGUGAAAGACGGUUUUGCUGUCACUUAUAGAUGGAUCCGCGCCGCAUUAGCUAGUUGGUAAGGUAACGGCUUACCAAGGCAACGAUGCGUAGCCGACCUGAGAGGGUGAUUGGCCCAACUGGAACUUAGAACCCGGCCAGACUCCUAAGGGGAGCAAGAGUAGGGAAUCUUCCGCAAUGGGCGAAAGCCUGACGGAGCAACGCCGCGUGAGUGAUGAAGGUCUUCGGAUCGUAAAACUCUGUUAUUAGGGAAGAACAAAUGUGUAAGUAACUAUGCACGUCUUGACGGUACCUAAUCAGAAAGCCACGGCUAACUACGUG